rnacentral:rRNA from 1 species
CCUACGGGUGGCAGCAGUCGAGAAUUUUUCUCAAUGGGGGAAACCCUGAAGGAGCGACGCCGCGUGGAGGAUGAAGGUCUUCGGAUUGUAAACUCCUGUCAUUAGAGAACUAGUAUCUGAAGAGGAAGAGACGGCUAACUCUGUGCCAGCAGCCGCGGUAAUACAGAGGUCUCAAGCGUUGUUCGGAUUCAUUGGGCGUAAAGGGUGCGCAGGUGGCGCGGCAAGUCGGAUGUGAAAUCCCGGGGCUCAACCCUGGAACUGCAUUCGAUACUGCCGUGCUAGAGUGCUGGAGAGGAGAUUGGAAUUUACGGUGUAGCAGUGAAAUGCGUAGAUAUCGUAAGGAAGACCAGUGGCGAAGGCGGAUCUCUGGACAGUCUGACACUGAGGCACGAAGGCCAGGGGAGCAAACGGGAUUAGAUACCCUUGUAGUC